GUGCUCACUUCGGGAGCACAUAUACUAAAACUGGAAUGAUACAGAGAAAAUUAGCAUGGCCCCUAUGCAAGGAUGACAAGAAAAUUCAUGAAAAAUUCCAUAUUUUU
ensembl:snRNA U6 U6 spliceosomal RNA